rnacentral:rRNA from 1 species
GUGGGGAAUUUUGGACAAUGGGCGAAAGCCUGAUCCAGCCAUGCCGCGUGCAGGAUGAAGGCCUUCGGGUUGUAAACUGCUUUUGUACGGAACGAAAAGACUCCUUCUAAUAAAGGGGGUCCAUGACGGUACCGUAAGAAUAAGCACCGGCUAACUACGUGCCAGCAGCCGCGGUAAUACGUAGGGUGCAAGCGUUAAUCGGAAUUACUGGGCGUAAAGCGUGCGCAGGCGGUUAUAUAAGACAGAUGUGAAAUCCCCGGGCUCAACCUGGGAACUGCAUUUGUGACUGUAUAGCUAGAGUACGGUAGAGGGGGAUGGAAUUCCGCGUGUAGCAGUGAAAUGCGUAGAUAUGCGGAGGAACACCGAUGGCGAAGGCAAUCCCCUGGACCUGUACUGACGCUCAUGCACGAAAGCGUGGGGAGCAAACAGGAUUAGAAACCCUUAGUCC